UCAGAGGAAUUUUCUGGUAUUUUGGUUCUGCAAAACAUUGGAGAUUGAUGAUGAUACGAGAAGAUGGUGGAAAAAGGUCGAAGAAGAUGCAUAGAUUGAAGGAUGAUAGAUGGAAGAAGAGAGGAGAAUCAAGAGUUUUUCUGGUUUUUCCGAUUCUACAGAAUGAAUCCCUCCCCGAUCUAUCAAAGGCCUUGGUGUUGGUAGCAU